UUAAGGAACUCGGCAAAAUGCCCCCGUAACUUCGGGAGAAGGGGGGCCGGAUUUGUUAUUGCACUUGCUGCAAAAAGCAAUGAUGGCCGCAGAGACCAGGCCCAAGCGACUGUUUACUAAAAACACAGGUCCGUGCGAAGUUGUAAGACGAUGUAUACGGACUGACUCCUGCCCGGUGCUGGAAGGUUAAGGGGACCUGUUAGAUCUUCGGAUCGAAGCGGAGAACUUAAGCCCCAGUAAACGGCGGUGGUAACUAUAACCAUCCUAAGGUAGCGAAAUUCCUUGUCGGGUAAGUUCCGACCUGCACGAAUGGAGUAACGACUUGGGCGCUGUCUCAACCAUAGACUCGGCGAAAUUGCACUACGAGUAAAGAUGCUCGUUACGCGCGGCAGGACGGAAAGACCCCGGGACCUUUACUAUAGUUUGGUAUUGGUGUUUGGUUCGAUUUGUGUAGGAUAGGUGGGAGACUUUGAAGCUUGGACGCCAGUUCAGGUGGAGUCAACGUUGAAAUACCACUCUGAUCGUAUUAGACAUCUAACCUAGGUCCAUUAUCUGGAUCAGGGACAGUGCCUGAUGGGUAGUUUAACUGGGGCGGUUGCCUCCUAAAAUGUAACGGAGGCGCUCAAAGGUUCCCUCAGCCUGGUUGGCAAUCAGGUUUCGAGUGUAAGUGCACAAGGGAGCUUGACUGUGAGAGUGACAACUCGAGCAGGGACGAAAGUCGGAACUAGUGAUCCGGCGCUGGCAUGUGGAAGCGGCGUCGCUCAACGGAUAAAAGGUACCCCGGGGAUAACAGGCUGAUCUUCCCCAAGAGUCCAUAUCGACGGGAUGGUUUGGCACCUCGAUGUCGGCUCGUCGCAUCCUGGGGCUGGAGUAGGUCCCAAGGGUUGGGCUGUUCGCCCAUUAAAGCGGCACGCGAGCUGGGUUUAGAACGUCGUGAGACAGUUCGGUCCCUAUCCGCCGCGCGCGCAGGAAACUUGAGAAAGGCUGUCCCUAGUACGAGAGGACCGGGAUGGACGAACCUCUGGUGUGCCAGUUGUUCCGCCAGGAGCACGGCUGGUUAGCUACGUUCGGAAGUGAUAACCGCUGAAAGCAUCUAAGCGGGAAGCACGUUUCAAGAUGAGGUUUCCCACCGGGUUAACCGGGUAAGGCCCCCAGUAGACGACUGGGUUGAUAGGCCGGAGGUGUACAGCAGUAAUGCCUAGCCGACCGGUACUAAUAGGCCGAGGGCUUGUCCC
rnacentral:rRNA from 1 species